ACCUAGGGAGGCAGUAGUGGGGAAUAUUGCACAAUGGGGGGAACCCUGAUGCAGCAAUGCCGCGUGGGUGAAGAAGCACUCCGGUGCGUAAAGCCCUGUCAGCAGGGAAGAAAAUGACAGUACCUGGACAAGAAGCCCCGGCUAACUACGUGCCAGCAGCCGCGGUAAUACGUAGGGGGCAAGCGUUAUCCGGAUUUACUGGGUGUAAAGGGAGCGUAGGCGGCGAUGCAAGUCAGAAGUGAAAGCCCGGGGCUCAACUCCGGGACUGCUUUUGAAACUGUGUUGCUAGAUUGCAGGAGAGGUAA
rnacentral:rRNA from 1 species